AUUGAACGCUGGCGGCAUGCCUUACACAUGCAAGUCGAACGGCAGCGGACCUUCGGGUGCCGGCGAGUGGCGAACGGGUGAGUAAUGCAUCGGAACGUGCCAUUGAGUGGGGGGAUAACGUAGCGAAAGUUGCGCUAAUACCGCAUAUUCUGUGAGCAGGAAAGCAGGGGACCGCAAGGCCUUGCGCUCUUUGAGCGGCCGAUGUCAGAUUAGCUAGUUGGUGAGGUAACGGCUUACCAAGGCGACGAUCUGUAGCGGGUCUGAGAGGAUGAUCCGCCACACUGGAACUGAGACACGGUCCAGACUCCUACGGGAGGCAGCAGUGGGAAUUUUGGACAAUGGGGGCAACCCUGAUCCAGCCAUGCCGCGUGAGUGAAGAA
rnacentral:rRNA from 1 species